rnacentral:lncRNA from 1 species
CGCUCUUGUCGCCAUCUUUGUUUUGGUUUAUCAUUGGACCGGUUGCUUCGGCUUCCAUGUUUAGUAUGGGCGACGGUGAUAAAAUAAAGGUCCGCCCUUUACAAGGGGGUUUGACGCCCAUUUUCGUUUUGGGCAGAGUUCACUGUAGAGCUGUGAGAGGUUUCGUUUUCUGUCGCCAUGUUAAGUUCAGUGUAGAAACUUCGCUGUGUUAGUAGAUCUUCAUAUUUUGCCUCAAGGUUCAAGAAAAUCACCAGCUGGUUUUCAGAAUAGAAAAAAAGGUACAGCAAAAAUUUCAAUUUUAAGGACAAAAUGACUGUGGGAGAAAACAUUGCCUAGUGCUAAUCUGCUUAGAUUCUACUUUACUAAUUAGGUAAAAAUGAUAAAGAUAAUGCCUAAGCUUGAGAAAUCCUACUGAAGCACUGUUAUUUCCCCCAAGAAAUAUUUUGGUUUUUUCUCAGGAAACUAAAGUUAUGUCUACAGUAGACAAACAUUUCUGACCUUCCAUUAGGUAUUAUUUACCUCCAGAAUAUUCCUCUCUCCCCACCCCAUCCCAGGUUGUAUUUAUGCAACAUAUAUAAUAAAAUAUUCAUAACUGCUUAAAAGUGGUGCUCA